AUCUAAUGAUGAGCGCAUUGAAUGAACAAUUGCUCAAAUCUUUCCCAAUACUCAGAGAGUCUCCCCAUGAGAUUGCCUAAUCCCAGAUAUUUCUCUUCUUAUGUU